AUGUUUCCACGCCCUACACACUUCUCCCUGACCAGUGAUUCCCCUCUGCCCUGCCCACUCCUUCCCAUGGAGCUCGACGCCGCCCAAAACCCUAACCCUGAACCCCCCAUCUCCGCCUACUACCAGACGCGGGCGGAGCACCAUGCCGUCGUCUCCAGCGACUGGCUCGACCACGCAGCCGCUGCCGCCUCUCUCCCCGAUGCGCACGCCGACGCCGACGCCGCCCCACCCCCCUCCCCCGGGAGCAACGGCGGCGGCGUCAUCGAGGAGUUCAACUUCUGGCGCCGCAAGCCGGAGGCCGCCGAGGCGGUUGCCGCCAUCAUGGCGCUCGCCGCCGUCAUCCGCUCCAGCAGGGCCACCACCAUGAUGGAGCUCGAGAUCGAGCUCAAGAAGGCUUCCGACAAGCUCAAGUCCUGGGAUGCUACUUCCAUUUCUCUGUCUGCUGCUUGUGAUUUGUUCAUGCGCUUUGUAACAAGAACAUCACAUUUGGAGCAUGAGAAAUUUGAUGCAGCAAAAUCACGCCUAAUUGAGCGAGGGGAAAAGUUUGGAGAGAUAUCAUUAAAGGCCCGUAAGACAAUUGCAAUGCUCAGCCAGGAUUUCAUCUCAGAUGGGUGCACUAUGCUGGUACAUGGUUAUUCCAGAGUAGUGUUGGAAAUCCUGAAGCUAGCUGCCUCAAAUCGCAAACUUUUCCGUGUAUUAUGCACAGUUGACAUGGUAUUUGUUGGCGCUGAUGGGGUUGUUGAAAGUGGAGGAGUUAUUAAUAUGAUGGGGACUUACCAGAUAGCUCUUGUAGCUCAUAGCAUGAAUAAACCUCUAUACGUGGCCGCUGAAAGUUAUAAGUUUGCUCGUCUAUAUCCCCUGGACCAGAAGGACAUGACACCAGCUCAUCGACCGAUAAAUUUUGGAGUUCCGAUACCUGCUGGUGUGGAAGUUGAGACAUCGGCAAGAGACUACACUCCUCCCCAGUACCUCACACUUCUUUUGACUGAUCUUGGUGUUCUGACACCAUCCGUUGUGAGCGAUGAGCUCAUCCAACUGUACCUAUGA
rnacentral:rRNA from 1 species